rnacentral:rRNA from 1 species
UAUCUCUGUAGAGUCUGCAUAUCAAUAAGCGGAGGAAAAGAAACUAACUAGGAUUCCCUAAGUAACGGCGAGUGAAGCGGGAAGAGCUCAAAUUUGAAAUCUUCAAGGUUUUACCUUGACGAAUUGUAGUUUAAAGAAGUGUUUUCUGUUGGAGUUUUGGUAAAAGUUCUUUGGAAUAGGACAUCAUAGAGGGUGAGAAUCCCGUAUUUGACCAUUAUUUCCAGCUUUGUGAUACACUUUCAAAGAGUCGGAUUGUUUGGGAAUGCAGUCCAAAAUGGGUGGUAAAUUUCAUCUAAAGCUAAAUAUUGGCGAGAGACCGAUAGCGAACAAGUACCGUGAGGGAAAGAUGAAAAGAACUUUGAAAAGAGAGUUAAACAGUACGUGAAAUUGUCAAAAGGGAAGCGUUUGACACCAGUGUUGUUUUCUCGAAAAUCAAUUAAAAAUGGCAGGAUUUUGUGUUGUAUUGACUUUAUCAGCUUUCUGCACUCUUUUCCUUGUCUUUUUUAAUGCACUUUUCGUUUAACAAGUCAACAUCAAUUUCUUUUGUUGUAAAAGGGUCAUUGGAAGGUGGCUUUCUUUUCGGAGAAAGUGUUUAUAGCCUUUGGCCUCUGCAAUCGGAGAGAUUGAGGUCUGCAGCGUAGAUCCUUCGGGGUUAGAUACAUUUGUGCUAAGUUAUAGCCUUUCAUAGACAACUUGUUGACUAUGAUCAGUCAUGUAGCUUACUCGCUUAUGCUAUUUUACCUACGCUUAGGAUGUUGAGUCAUCACACAUCUCU